GAGUUUGAUCGUGGCUCAGAGCGAACGCUGGCGGCAGGCUUAACACAUGCAAGUCGAGCGGGCGUAGCAAUACGUCAGCGGCAGACGGGUGAGUAACACGUGGGAACGUACCUUUUGGUUCGGAACAACUGAGGGAAACUUCAGCUAAUACCGGAUAAGCCCUAACGGGGAAAGAUUUAUCGCCGAAAGAUCGGCCCGCGUCUGAUUAGCUAGUUGGUGAGGUAAUGGCUCACCAAGGCGACGAUCAGUAGCUGGUCUGAGAGGAUGAUCAGCCACACUGGGACUGAGACACGGCCCAGACUCCUACGGGAGGCAGCAGUGGGGAAUAUUGGACAAUGGGGCAACCCUGAUCCAGCCAUGCCGCGUGAGUGAUGAAGGCCCUAGGGUUGUAAAGCUCUUUGUGCGGGAAGAUAAUGACGGUACCGCAAGAAUAAGCCCCGACUAACUUCGUGCCAGCCGCCGCCGUAAU
rnacentral:rRNA from 1 species